rnacentral:rRNA from 1 species
AGAUUGAACGCUGGCGGCAUGCCUUACACAUGCAAGUCGAACGGCAGCACGGGAGCAAUCCUGGUGGCGAGUGGCGAACGGGUGAGUAAUAUAUCGGAACGUGCCCAGUCGUGGGGGAUAACGCAGCGAAAGCUGUGCUAAUACCGCAUACGAUCUAUGGAUAGGAAAGGCGGGGGAUCGCAAGACCUCGCGCGAGUUGGAGCGGCCGAUAUCAGUAUUAGCUAGUUGGUGAGGUAUGGCUCACCGAGGCGACGACUCCGUAACUGGUCUGAGGAGGAU